GGGAGACUGUGAAGCGGGCACGCUAGUGUUCGUGGAGUCAUUGUUGAAAUACCACUCUGGUCACUUUGGAUGUCUAACGUAGGACCCUGAUCGGGUUCAUGGACAGUGCCUGAUGGGUAGUUUAACUGGGGCGGUUGCCUCCCAAAGAGUAACGGAGGCGCCCAAAGGUUCCCUCAACCUGGUUGGCAAUCAGGUGGCGAGUGUAAGUGCACAAGGGAGCUUGACUGUGAGACUGACAGGUCGAGCAGGGACGAAAGUCGGGACUAGUGAUCCGGCAGUGGCUUGUGGAAGCGCUGUCGCUCAACGGAUAAAAGGUACCUCGGGGAUAACAGGCUGAUCUUGCCCAAGAGUCCAUAUCGACGGCAUGGUUUGGCACCUCGAUGUCGGCUCGUCGCAUCCUGGGGCUGGAGUAGGUCCCAAGGGUUGGGCUGUUCGCCCAUUAAAGCGGUACGCGAGCUGGGUUUAGAACGUCGUGAGACAGUUCGGUCCCUAUCCGCUGCGCGCGUUGGAAAUUUGAGAAGAUCUAUCCCUAGUACGAGAGGACCGGGAUGGACGAACCUCUGGUGUGUCAGUUGUUCUGCCAAGGGCACCGCUGAUUAGCUACGUUCGGACCGGAUAACCGCUGAAAGCAUCUAAGCGGGAAGCCGUCUUCGAGAUGAGAUUUCCAUGCACCUUGAGUGUGAGAGGCUCCCAGCAGACUACUGGGUUGAUAGGCCGGAUGUGGAAGCGGGGACUAACGACCCGUGGAGCUGACCGGUACUAAUAAGCCGAAGACUUGACAAC
rnacentral:ncRNA from 1 species